rnacentral:rRNA from 1 species
UGGGGAAUAUUGCACAAUGGGCGCAAGCCUGAUGCAGCCAUGCCGCGUGUGUGAAGAAGGCCUUCGGGUUGUAAAGCACUUUCAGCGGGGAGGAAGGCGAUAAGGUUAAUAACCUUGUCGAUUGACGUUACCCGCAGAAGAAGCACCGGCUAACUCCGUGCCAGCAGCCGCGGUAAUACGGAGGGUGCAAGCGUUAAUCGGAAUUACUGGGCGUAAAGCGCACGCAGGCGGUCUGUCAAGUCGGAUGUGAAAUCCCCGGGCUUAACCUGGGAACUGCAUUCGAAACUGGCAGGCUAGAGUCUUGUAGAGGGGGGUAGAAUUCCAGGUGUAGCGGUGAAAUGCGUAGAGAUCUGGAGGAAUACCGGUGGCGAAGGCGGCCCCCUGGACAAAGACUGACGCUAAGGUGCGAAAGCGUGGGGAGCAAACAGG